GGAGACUUCCUAAAUAUUCCAAAGGCACCAAAACCUGACUGAUAUUAGAAGCUAAGCAGAGUCAGCCCUAGUUUAUACUUAAAAGGGAGAUCACCAGUGAAUGGCAGGUGCUGUUGGCU
rnacentral:rRNA from 11 species